CCGUGUGAACUCGCGCUCGGCCCUGUAGUAAAAUGGGGGUGAGAACUAACUUCCUUAGUUCCCAGUGGGUUCGGCCGCCGACUCCGCCGAUCUCCCCACUAGGUCCAAGUCGGGCACAAGUAGAUAAUCGAUAGAUAGAUAGAUAGAUAGGAAAGCGGUAAAUGACAGAAGUAAAGCUACUCUACUAUGCCCAAUCAUAAAUAUAUGAAUGCAUGUACAAUGAAAUGGAUAAACAACAAUCCCAUUAUCAUGUCCAAAGGUAAAGUUAUUUACUCGUUCACCAAUCUCAUUUACUUGUUUCUCAAUCUCGUGGCUUCCCUGAAGGAGCCUACUGCUCACUAGCCAUCUCGAAGGUAGGGAGAGUCAACUCGCACUACGAACCGAGACCGUCUGGCGGGGCCAUAAUAGGCAAUCCCUUGGGACCCGAAAUCGGCAAUCCCACGUGACCAACUCCGGAGCGCACUACUUGUGUGGGGCUUCCAUCACAAGAUUUAAAACAGACCGUGAGCAUGAUCCAAUCCUCGUCUCGAGAAUACCCUAUCCUCUAGGGUUACAACCAUCAUAGAGUCCAUAGGUUUCAUAUACACUAUGACUCACAUAUGUCACUUGUUCUUUUGUUUACUAUCAACUAGAUGCCACUCGUUCUUUACAAGUUUCCAAUGCAAUAGCCAAUGCAUUAUUAAAUUUCCAUCCACACUUAUCAUCUCAUUAUAGGGUUCCACAUCACAUAUAUAAACCUCAAGCAUGCUAGAUAUAAGUAUUAAGCCAAAUACAUUAUUCUACCAAAGAACAUGCAAGGUAUAGGACCAAACCAUCAUUUAUCACCCUAUAAUGCAAGAUGUCAAUAUGUCAAUAUGCAAUUUGAUCAAUAUAAAACUUAGACAUAAAAGGGAGCCCAAUUGAUUCGGGAUGGACACCACCCACCUUUUAUAGCGUUCCGAUUGCUCGUCGUCACUCGCAAUCGGCCUCCCGCGGCACACGCCGCUCGGCUUGACCCAAUCCGCGUGCGACCGCCAAAUGACCUCCGAUCCGCGAUCCGAAAAUUAAAGGUCUUCGGUUUUCUAUUACGAUGCUUCAAAUCCGUUUCCAGGACUUUACGACGUCGCCUCGGCCCUCUAGGCGGAAACGAAGCCUAAACGCCCGUUUCUUUAAUAACUUUGUACCGGCUCAAUGAAUCGCCGAACCGUCGCUUCCAACGCGUUCAGUGACCUAUCAAUUAGGUUUACGAAGGGUCAAAUUAGAUCAAACCCCACCUAAUUUGUAAACCCCCAUUUUCACACCCUAGCCUCAACAUAUGCUCCAAACAAUCCAAAUAUUAAGGAUUUAACAAGCUAACUUCACAUUAGAGGCUAUUAGAACACUUAAACUUAAGGAUUAAGCCAAAUCCCAAAAGCUUACCCCAAUGUGAACGCCGCAACGAAAACACGUCGCUCCAACGGGCGCACGAAAGCUCAAUCCGUCGCCUCCAACGCGUUCGCAAGCUCGAUCUCCACCAACGCCGCGAAUUUGGGCGAGAAAUAUAGAGAGAUGAGAGAGAUAUUUAGAGAGAGAAAGUGAGGAUUUCUCUCACUACACCAUGAACGUGUGGUGUUGUGGAGUGGUGGUGGCUGUGAAGAGGAAGAAGCCUAGUAGCUUCUACUUAUAGUCAACACAUCAAUAGUAGUGUACACUAUUCACAUCAGGCAGCUCGAAAUCUGAUAUCUUUCGCCGGAGCUCCCUGAAUAUCCGUUUGAGCUCAAAUCUGACAGUCAUAUUCGGUUUUACUUAAAGAGUCCAAAGAAAUUUUAAUAUUUCAGUUUCGACCCCGUUUGGUCACCGAAAACUAUACCGAACUGCAAUCUUUAUCAGAUAGCUUCCGGAUUUUAUUUCUCACUCUACGGGUGUUAGAAAAAUAUGAAACCUUAAAUAUAGCCUCAUAGAAAUAUUUCUGACAUAUCCUCCAAUUUUCAUAAUUUUCCGAGACUGUGCAUUUUCUGCUAAUAUUUCUGUCCCGUUUCCAACAGAAAAUUCCAGAUCUUCUGUUUUCAGCCCGAUUUCAGCACAAGUCACUUCUGACUUAUGUUUUACUUCUCUAAAUCCAAUAAAAUAGUGUCUCAUACUAUUUUUAUUUAUUUUCACUUUUAUAUUAAAAAUCCGGUAUGUUACAUUCCACCGCAGCCUCACCGGAACCAUUUAAAUGGCUUUCCAAUCGAACGUACACCGUAACCUCAUGAUUUUCGAAGUCCGGUACCUUACAUC
rnacentral:lncRNA from 1 species